GAUGCAUUCGACGGAAGGCCCCUUCGGGGGUACUCGAGUGGCGAACGGGUGAGUAACACGUGGGUAAUCUGCCCUGCACUUCGGGAUAAGCCUGGGAAACUGGGUCUAAUACCGGAUAGGACCACUUGGCGCAUGCCUUGUGGUGGAAAGCUUUUGCGGUGUGGGAUGGGCCCGCGGCCUAUCAGCUUGUUGGUGGGGUGACGGCCUACCAAGGCGACGACGGGUAGCCGGCCUGAGAGGGUGUCCGGCCACACUGGGACUGAGAUACGGCCCAGACUCCUACGGGAGGCAGCAGUGGGGAAUAUUGCACAAUGGGCGCAAGCCUGAUGCAGCGACGCCGCGUGGGGGAUGACGGCCUUCGGGUUGUAAACCUCUUUCAGCAGGGACGAAGCGCAAGUGACGGUACCUGCAGAAGAAGCACCGGCCAACUACGUGCCAGCAGCCGCGGUAAUACGUAGGGUGCGAGCGUUGUCCGGAAUUACUGGGCGUAAAGAGCUCGUAGGUGGUUUGUCGCGUUGUUCGUGAAAACCGGGGGCUUAACCCUCGGCGUGCGGGCGAUACGGGCAGACUGGAGUACUGCAGGGGAGACUGGAAUUCCUGGUGUAGCGGUGGAAUGCGCAGAUAUCAGGAGGAACACCGGUGGCGAAGGCGGGUCUCUGGGCAGUAACUGACGCUGAGGAGCGAAAGCGUGGGGAGCGAACAGG
rnacentral:rRNA from 1 species